rnacentral:rRNA from 1 species
UACGGGGGGGGCAAGCGUUGUUCGGAAUUACUGGGCGUAAAGGCUUGUAGGCGGCCAACUAAGUCCGACGUGAAAUCCCCAGGCUUAACCUGGGAACUGCGUCGGAUACUGGAUGGCUUGAAUUCGGGAGAGGGAUGCAGAAUUCCAGGUGUAGCGGUGAAAUGCGUAGAUAUCUGGAGGAAUACCGGUGGCGAAGGCGGCAUCCUGGACCGACAUUGACGCUGAGGAGCGAAAGCUAGGGGAGCAAACGGGG